AGUUCCCUUGCUCACAGCUCCUCUGUGGGUUGCAAUUGGCUGCAGAACAAUGAGAAACCUUGAGGACAUGAUGAGUCGCAGGGCUCUGUCUCAUCCUCUGCUACCUUUUGUGUCUAUUCUCCUACCUCACAUGCCCGUCUUCCGUUCCAAAGUACGGGAAGCCAGCUGAGGCUGUAGCUUAGCUCUGGUGUUUAUGUAAGGUCCUGGGUUUAGUGUGAUCUGUAGUGUUGCCAAAAAAUAAAUAAAAAAUAAAAUGAACGAUUGAAGAUAGGCUAGGGAUUUGGCUCAGUUGUGCAAGCACUUGUCUAGCAUGCACAGGCCAUGAGAGCAAUCCCAGCAUAACAAGAAACACCCCCUACCACACAAACACACACCUGCAGAACAGGUACAUGUCAUCUACCACUGGGGAAUACACGCACACACACACGCACACGCACAUGCACACACACACACGCACGCACACAUUCAGUAAAGAGAAUCACCAUGUUCCACAUUACUUACUUAGCUACUUUAAAUUUCAGAAUGGAUUCAUUUCUCCUUAUUGGCCUUCUCUGGCCUAUCUAAUUCCUCUCUUUCUUCCUCCAGACUAUAAACUCGAAAGAUCUUUGUCUGUUACUCAUUGUAUAUUAAGUCCGCAGCACAAUGUUUGGUUCAUAGUUACACAGCAAACCCAGAAACAGUAACGGUCACUAUGCUACCUUCUUCCUUCUUAAGCUUCUCAUUAGCAACCUUAGAGGUAGUUUCUACCAUCGCUCUCACUUAAGUAUAGGAAACCGGACAUAGUCGGAGGACUAUAACCUUUGUACAGCCAUCAGCAUAGAGAUAGGAUGAAGACCUAAGGAGUUUGUUCCCCAAAUUGGCCCUGUUAAUUAUGAUGCUAUCCUUCUCCUGAACACAGUAGGCACUUUAAUAAACCUUGGCUGACUGAAGAAAUGGAGGUCUGAGCAAAUCUGAUUUCUAGAGGCCAGGGUUCAGAUCCCUACCCUGACUCACCCUUUCCUGGGUUUUCCUGUUCCAGGCCCUCCAUGCUCCCUGUGUAAACAUGGGUAGCCAAGACACACAAGCGCUGGACACCAGCAGACUGUGGCUCUAAGGUGGCAUGACUUAACAGACCACACCUGGACUUGAGUCUUGAAACCUUUCAACAAGAGGCGACCGAGGCAGAGCGUUUAUUUAGCACCUAGAUGGCACAGGAAUCCAGGACAACUUUCGUGUGUCCCCGCGUGUUUUUGCUGGCGAGAUCGCGCGGGACAGACUUGUGAGAGAUGAAGUGAAAGGGAGAGGGGUAUCUGAAAGCAACCAGCAGACCCAGCGCACGGGAAGCUGUACGCCUCUCUUUGCUGAUCGCUUUUGGGAUCACGUGAGGUGGGAUUUGGGGGAUAAUUAUCCACAAUCACUUCCUUCUUGGGAUCCAUUCCUUAUUAGCAGUCUGCGUGCCUGCUGGAGAAACCCCAGUUAACUGCCCUGCUUUCUCCGUGUACGGAGAUGAAAGUCUCAUCGCAUUAAUCCCUCUGAAAUGGUGCUGUAACUGAAGCCACAGCAAACUGCUCACCGGGGAUCCCAAGCCUUGCAAACUAGUCUGUCUAAGCCUGCAUGAAAAAUGCAGACCUGCCCCUUUGCUGCUAGUUAAGCUGGCUGGAACUUUAAUGCAUGCCUCCUACAGCAUUUUAGACCCAAGCCCCCAAGCCCAGGCCCCUGCCCCCAACCCACAAAGCUGCCACCAGGGUCCUCUGUGGCUCCUAAACACUUGGCUCUGGCACUUGGGACAUUUUAUUGAGGCAGCUUUACUGGAAGGAUCCAAUUACAGGGGUAUGGCAAGUUAGAUUCAAUGCCCCGGUUAACAACGCUGCAGAGAACACUGAGGCUCCUUUAGCCCUUCCUGGGCUGAAGGGAAUGAGGAGAGGUAAUGUCUAACAGCCCCCAAGAUGGCUUCUGCUUCUGGACAGCAACACUCCAUUGGGUUUUUAAAAAAAUCCUUCUAUUUUUAUUCAUGUGUAAAAAGUAAUACAUCAUAGUUGUUGGGAGGGAAGUCAAGCAAUAGGAAGUAGGAAGAAUAAAACUUAGUCUCUCCCCCUCGACUCUUAAAAUCCCACAUACUUCCCCUGAGGUAGACACUGUUUCCAGUUCGUUGUAUAUCCUUCCAGAUUUUUCUUUAUUAUACUUGUAAAAAAAAUCAUAUCAUAGUUAACGGUUUUCUGGCCAACUUUUCUACAACGUGUUUUUUUUCCUUUGCCCUGUUACACCAUGGUAUUUCUGCCAUCUAUCCUUAUGAAUUAUAUUCCUUUUAAUUCGUGCAUUACUGUUUCUAGUAUGUCUGUGUUGUUGUCUUGGCCACUUCUGUUCAAGUGCAUCACGGUGGGAAAAGUCAAGUUGGAAGGAGCCUGAAUCAGGUCACAGCACAUCCUCAGUCAGGAAAGCAGGAAGAGCUGAAUACAAGCUCCUCCUCAGAUUGCCCAGGAUGCCCAGCCCGGGAGGUGGAUCCACCCACAAUUAAGAUGGGUCCUGAUCACAUCACCUAACUCCAUCACAGUAAUCCCCAACAGUCGUGCCUGAGACCUCCCUCUCUCAGGGUCUAACUACAUAGCCCAGGCUGGCCACAAACUCACUCUAUAGCCCAGGUUGGCUUCAGACUCCAGACUCAGACUCCAAAGAAAUCCUCCUUAUCUGGCUUCCAAGGUGCUCGUAAUACACGUGUGCUACCACCACUCCUGAAGAGGACUUUUGUAUAAGUCUUUACAGACCGCCAUGUGGCUGAAAUCAUACAGCAUGAAGCCCUUUCAAACUGGAUUCUUCCUUGUAUUGUGAUAAAAGGUGUUAGCACGUGGAUGAUGUGUCUGUGGGUACAUAUGCCACAGCACCUGUGUGGAGGUUAGAGGACAUCUUUGGGAGUCCAUUUUCUUCUUCUGCCCCUAAACGAGUUGUAGGGAGUGGUCUCAGGUCACCAGGCGAGCAUCUUCAUCCACUGAGCCACUUUCCUGACUCACUCUGUGACUUAUUUAUUUUUCUAGCCUCCAAGUAAUAUUCUGUUGUAGGGACAUACCACAGUUUUCACUCAACUAUAGGAGAAAAACCUUAGUUGUUUCUAAGUUUUGGGAAUUAUGACAAAAAGAUGUUGUGAAUGUCCACUCGAAGGAUUCUGUGCAGAUGCAAGGCUUCAAAGGAUCUGGAAAAAUAAGAAGAGAUAAAUUCUUGCAUUGUGUGUAAAACCAUGUAUGUUUUUUGUAAGAGGCUCCAGAACUGAUCUCUAAAGUGUCACCAGCCAUGAGCAAACGUCCUGAUUGCUUUACCUUCUCACUAGUAUUCCAGUGUCUUUUUAAAAACAGUCAUGUUGACAAUGUUACUGUUUGAAGUCACGUUUCUAAGUAAUAUGACGGCGGGCAUUUUUUACAUGCAUGAGCAUCUUUGGACAUCUUUCUAUUCAAGAUAUAGCUUUGUGCAUUAACUUGAUUUGAUUCUUCUAUGCAUAAUUUUGAUAUAUUUCCCUAAUCGAGUAUGUUUCGUGCAUAUAUUCUCCCCAUGUAUGACUUUAUUUUAUCUUCACUUUUAAAAUUUAUUUUGUUUUUUAAUUAUAAUAUAAUUACAUUUUCUCAUUUCCACUUUCUCCUUCCAAACACAUGCCUCCCUUUUGCUCUCUUUUAAGUUCACAACCUCUUUUAUCAUUGUUUUAAACGUCCACACACACACACUGUUUUAGCAUUGCUAUGAAUCAACACCAUGACCAAGGCAACUAUUAUAAAGGACAGCAUUUAAUUGGGACUGGCUUACAGAUUGUGAGAUUCAGUCCGUUAUCAUCAUGACAGGAAGCAUGGCAGCAUCCAGGCAGGCAUGGUGCAGGAGGAGCUGAGAGUUCUACCUCUUGUUCAGAAGGCAAGAGAAGACUGGCUUCCAGUCUUCCAGAAGACAGACUAGGAGGAAGUCUCCCACAGUGAGACACUUUCUCCAACAAGGCCAUACCUCCUAAUAGUGCCACUGCUUGGGCCAAGCAUAUUCAAACCAUCAUGCAUACUCAUACACAUACAUGUAUCAUAUAUUUCUAAAUACAUAAUUACAACCUUCUCAGUCUGUAUAAUGUUAUCUAAAUGUCUAUGUUUUCAGGGUUGACCAUUUGGUUUUAGAUAGCCAAUUAGAGUGUUCUUCCCUGGGGAAGACCAUUUUUCCUGCUCUCAGCAUCCCUUAUUUUCUUGUACUUCUUUGUGUAGAGCCGAGCCUUCCUGGGCUGUCCAUCAUCCAUGUUAGCAUGUCUAUUGUUGUUUUGUCCGGCUCAUGUUGUUGAGACAUUAUAGACAUAGGGGGCUGACUUAAGGUUCCUAUUGCUGUGAUGAAAACACUGUGACCAAAAAGCAAGGUAAGGAAAUAAAGGUUCAUUUGGCUUACACUUCUGGAUCAUGGUCUAUCUUUGGAGAAAGCCAGGACAGGAACUCAAGCAGGGAUGGAACCUAAAGGUAGGAACUAAUGAAGAGGACACGUAGGGUUGCUGCCUACUGGCUUUCUUCCCAUGGCUUUCUCAACCUGCUUCCUUAUAGAACUGAGAACCACCAGCCCAGGAAUGGCUCCACCCACCAUGGGCUGGGCCCUCCUCCGCUAGUCACUAAAUGAGAAAAUAUCUUACAGCUGGAUUUCAUGACGGCAUUUCAUCAACCUGAGGUUCCUUUCUCUCUGACGACUCUAGCUUGUGUCACGUUGACACAAAAGCAGCCACUACAACUGACCCCGUGUCAACUCAGCACACAAACACAUCGCUAUUACGCAGUAACUCAUCCUUUCUUAUUCAUCCCUGAGAUCUUACAUUAGAAACGACUCAGAAAGUCCCACAGUUUUAGAAAUUUAAACCUAUUAAAAAUUUAGUCUCAUUAAACUAUUCGAUCUCUCUAAAAAUCCAAAAUUCUUUCUUAAAAGCUCAGGGUCUUUCAGCUGUGGGCUGUAAAAAUCAAAAUUAAAUACCAUCUUCAAGAGGAAAGAAGAAGGGUACAGUUACAGUCUGAAUCAAGUAAAAUCAAACUCUAAUAGUAUAAAGAACUUUUAAACAGGGUUGAGACUGUUAUAGGCUCUGGGAACUUUUGAAGCUAGACUGAGUGCAUUUCUGCAUUAUGGAAUGGCUACAAGCCUGAGGGCCAGCGAGUGGAAUGUGUUUGAAUAGGAAUGGCCUCAUACACUUAUGUGCUUGAAUGCUUAGUCAAUAUGGAGUGGCACUAUUAGGUGGUAUGGCAUUGUUGGAGGAAAUGUGUCACUGUGGAGUGGGCUUUGAAGUUUCCACUACUCAAGCUACACCCAGUAUGGCCCACAGUCUCCUUCUGCUGCCUGUGCAUCAAGAUGUAGAACUCUUGGUUCAUUCAGCACCGUAUCUGCCCGCACACUGCCAUGCUUCCUGCCAUGAUGAUAAUGGACUAAACCUCUAAAACUGUAAGUCAGCCCCAAUUAAAUGUUUUUCUUGAUAGGAAUUCCCAUGGUCAUGGUGUCUCUUCGUAGUAAGAAAACCCUAACGAAGACAGGGGCUCUAGUUAGGGUGUGGGGAGGGAAAUAAAUGCAGAAGAAGGAGAGAAGAUGAAAUAACAGAAUAUUUGAAAAAGUUAUAAGGAAAAAUACUAUUAGCUGUCUACCUAAAACACCUACUGUAAUACACCUACGUUUAUACAGAACUGUUCAUAAUAAAGUUUUAAACCAAAAUUUCCCAUCUGGACUGACAAUGUUCCCU